rnacentral:rRNA from 1 species
UGGGGAAUAUUGCGCAAUGGGGGGAACCCUGACGCAGCCAUGCCGCGUGAAUGAAGAAGGCCUUCGGGUUGUAAAGUUCUUUCGGUAUUGAGGAAGGUUGGUGUGUUAAUAGUACAUCAAAUUGACGUUAAAUACAGAAGAAGCACCGGCUAACUCCGUGCCAGCAGCCGCGGUAAUACGGAGGGUGCGAGCGUUAAUCGGAAUAACUGGGCGUAAAGGGCACGCAGGCGGUUAUUUAAGUGAGGUGUGAAAGCCCCGGGCUUAACCUGGGAAUUGCAUUUCAGACUGGGUAACUAGAGUACUUUAGGGAGGGGUAGAAUUCCACGUGUAGCGGUGAAAUGCGUAGAGAUGUGGAGGAAUACCGAAGGCGAAGGCAGCCCCUUGGGAAUGUACUGACGCUCAUGUGCGAAAGCGUGGGGAGCAAACAGGAUUAGAUACCCUGGUAGUCCACGCUGUAAACGCUGUCGAUUUGGGGGUUGGGGUUUAACUCUGGCGCCCGUAGCUAACGUGAUAAAUCGACCGCCUGGGGAGUACGGCCGCAAGGUUA